CUGGGAGCCAAGAUGGUGCCUUUGCAUUCCAGGCUAGGAACUUACCUUCUUUUUUUCCUUUUCAGUGACUUUAGAGCCAUCCUUAGGGAGGCUGGUUAAGCUGGUUUACUGCACAGCUGGUCGCCAGUGGAGGGAAAUGUGCUGUGAGUCUUGACAAAUUUGGGAAGAGCCCGAGGGAAAUUUUUCAUCCUGAGCUACAAAAGGAUUUGUUGGCUCUUGAAGAGCAAGAGGGACCUGUGAAUUUUAAAUUUGGAGUCCUUUAUGCUAAGAAUGGGCAGCUUACAGAUGAUGAAAUGUUCGGCGAUGUGUGUGUUCCCACAAUUAAGUGGUGUGGAGCUGAAGGGGACUACAAUGUAAUGGUGAUGGAGCCGUUUGGACCGAGCCUUGAAGAUCUCUUCAGGUUUUGUUCAAGGAAAUUUAGUCUCGAGACAGUCCUAUUACUCACUGACCAAAUGGUAGGAAACUGCUUUGUUGAUCUUGACGGCGCAGUAUGUUGGAAUAUUAAAAUUCCUGGAGAGAUCAGAACCAAAUACGUUGUUUCUGUAAUUUAGAGGUGAAUAGGCCUGUAUCAUUAAAGAAAAGACUCAAAAUUGGUUUUGUUUCUCUUAAAUACAAAGUGCCCCAUCUAAAGUGAUUACAAAGUCUUAAUUGAUUUUUAGAAACCAGACUUGUGCUGUUUGCAAACCAUCUGUUGCACUGCUCAAAGACAGAAGAAACUCACCCAAGAAAGUUUUUGGAAACAAAUGUAAAAUAGACAUGGGGAAAGAGCUGGAGAGGUUUAUGUAUUGUCUAUCGAAUUAUGUUCUCUCUAAUGCCCUUACAUUUUACAAUAAAAAAUUUCAUUGCCUCUUUUAUCGUUAAGACAAUGUUGCUAGUGGUUUUGUAAGGAAAAAAA